AUACUUACCUGGCAGGGGAGAUACCAGGAUCAUGAAGGUGGAUUUCCCAGGGUGAGGCUUAUCCUUUGCUUUCCGAAUGUGUUGACCCCUGCAAUUUCCCCAAAUGUGGGAAACUUGACUGCAUAAUUGUGGUAGUGGGGAACUGCGUUCACGCUCUCCCUU
rnacentral:snRNA from 1 species